UUGGUGACAUACUCGGACAAGUUGCCAGCGAACUACGGACAGUUCUCACAGCCCAGAGCACCCUGCCGUGUAGCUCGAGAAGAAUCACCAGCAGAGGUGCGUGACAGCGUCAUGGAGGAUUAACAAACAAGAUCUUCAGCAAAUAUUGAAAAAACUACUCAUUUUUCUUUAAGUGAAGAAGUCAUCCAUUUCGGAAUUAAAAAUUUUGUUCUCGUCAAGAUCAGUCAGCAAGGCAAUUAGAAGGGCCACAGGCAGCUGAAACAGGUAAACAGCUGAGGACACAGCAUGAAAUUCAUGCAUUUCCAAAUUGCUUACUAUUGAACCAGCAAUCCCAAGCUACAAUCUCGAGUUGGCUGCAAGCACAAGAGGGCAGACUGCUGCACGCUAUGGAUCUUGCUAACAACAGAGGUCUCAACUUGCUACUCAAUUUUCUGCUCAUUGUCUUGGUUCUGGUGCUGGCCUUUAUCCUUGUGAAGCUGAUGUGAAGCUCUGUGACGUUCCGUUUUCCUCUCAAAGCCUGUUUUGAGGGGUUCCUUUGCAAUGAUAACUUAAACACUUCAAACCAUCUAAGCAUAAAUAUGCAAAGGCUGCAUAGCCUGAAAUAUCUGAUAGCUGGAGAAAGCGUUCCCAUAUGUAUUUUAACAGAAAGCCAUCCUAAUUAGCUACACAUAAUUAUGGACCUGCCAUUGACUGAAAGAAGCAUAUAGUGCUUUGCUGAGUACAAGAAGAAAUCCAAGUAUGUGUAAGCACUUACUGUAGUUUUCUCACUGCUACGACUGCUUUGUACUUACGAGCUACAAAAGAUCUGCAGCCUUCGAGGAACAUAAUUUCAGCAAUGGGGACAGCAAAAAUCAAAUUCUAAAAAUGGGGUUUCCCCCAAAAGCAUCCUUCACAGGAAAUGACAUAAAAAUGAAACAGGAAGGCAGAAGGAAACAUCCACGUUUGGUUGACAGCAAGUAUCAGAUUACUUGAGGAAAGCAAAAGCACAGACGCUGCAAGCUCAAAAAGCAUAUCCCGCAGCAGCAGCUUGCAGCAGCCAAGAUGCGGACAGGUUCAGUUCAAACAUGAACGUGAAAUUAUUAGUUACUCCUUUUUUGACACGUAUGGUCCACAGCAACACCUUAAAAGCCAGAAGCCAUUAGUGUUAGGAAGCAGGAUCGAAAGAAGAAUUUGUCAAAGAAAGAAAUUAAAAAUAAAAUAAAAAUAGUAAUAAAAAUAGAACGACCACUAACAAGGAGCAUAUGUCUGCCUAGGAAGCCUCUACCACGGCCACGCGAGCAGUAGGUUCACCUGCGCAAGAGCAGGCAGUGUGCUGCAUCCUCGACAACUUGGACUUACCACUUACGCACAGGCCAAGCGCACAGUGGGGGCACCCACAAGCCACACGCGACGUACCACGGGUCACCUGCCUGCCCAGUUCGCCCAGUUCAUAGCUGGUGCCCACGGCACGGUACGCGACACAACCUUCCUCCAGCACAUCUACGACCCUUUAGGGGAUGAGCUACUUUUCCGCGGUCCCUGGGAAGGUCGGUGCCCACUAUUAGCCCGCUUCUACUGGAAGUACUUGCCCAGAAGGCAGCCAAGCUGCUCCACACACCUGAGACACGCUGAGAAAGACAGUGCCGAGAAGUAGACGACAUGCAUUACUUUGGGGCCAAACAGCACCUCUCUUUCCCAGGGGCAAUUUGGGAGCAAAGAUAACAACAGGGGUGGCUUGUGCGGUUGAGCUGGAAAAGACCCAUAUAAAUUGAAUCUAGAAAAAGACUUUUCACAAGAAAAAGACAGUAUGCCUGGGGAAAACAACAGUGUGUGUCCUAUCCCGCAGGACGUUCGCCUGUCCUACCACUAACAGGCACCAGGGCUGCACUCCACAUUAUCUGCUCCAAAUCUUAGACAACAUCAGAUGGGGCCGCAUGGAUAACUAAAAUAGAAGUUUUUCUCUCAUCUGCUCCAAAAAUCUGUGCAAUAAGCACUUCAAGUAGCUCCUGCAAAAUACUGAUUUACAGCUUUUUUAUGUUAGCAUAGUCAUAUCAAUUUCUGUACCGACUGUCUGUUUGCAUUUAAAGCAGAAAAAGUUGCACAGCUACUUCACUGUAAGCACUUUAUCACUCAUUUUGAUUAUCUGGAAAAAUUUUGCUUUUUUUAAAAAAAAAUCUGUACGUGUAUAUACAAGGGAUAUAUAUUGUAACAGUAUGGUUACAUAUGUGGAAGGAUUUCUGAUAGUGCUUGACAUAAAUAAGAGAUGGCAUGAAACACACCAACAACUACAGAAACUGAUAUAAAGCCUGCUCUAGCCCAAAGAAAAAUAUGACCACGUAGUUUUCCCAAUAAAAUGGCUACUCACUGAUAUACUGCUCAGAUUGCACAAAGCUUAUUUUCUGUAUGCUCUUCUAUAUAGACAAGAGUUUCCUUACCUAAGGAAACAGUGAUAAUCCAAUAGUUAAAAACAGUUAAAACACAUCUAGGGAAGGUGGGGGUGGGGAAAAAAAAAUCACAUUCCCUUUCAAUAAAAGGAGAAAGAAGAGUAUUCUACAUUUCCAAAUUCAGAAUUCCCUACAAAGAAACUCUACAAUAAGCUCUGCCACUGGCCUACAGCCACCAUCCUCAGAAACAACUCUAGCAACUUUCUCUCAGCCAACAAUGAAAAUUACAGAAUUUAAAGAAAAAUGUUGAAACACACUGCUGAAACCAAACACGCGGAAACAUGAGCUUUCCCGAGGCGUCACAUAAAAUCGGCUAAGUUACCAGGAUACCAAUGCUGUUUGUUGUUAAAGGUCAAAUCUCUUUUUUGCAAUCAAGCUCAGCCCAAGCUCGGUUUACCAUCCUGUGGUAGGUAGCCCUUACUACAGGCUGAGCCCAGGUAUUCACUAGAUUGAGAUGAAUCCCAGUUGUCAGACUACCAAUUUCACAGCAAAAGACAGAACAUAGAGCAGCUUAACUGAGGCACACAGCGAAUGUGAGUUCAUUCUGUUAACUGAAGGUGGUAGUUCUUCACGUUAAAAACUUUUGUUUUGCUGAAAAGUAUAGUUUCAUCAAAACAUGGCACAGGAAAAAUGCUGAUAUUGAUCCUUUCCAGUUUUCUGAUCAGUCAGGAUUAUAAAAAUGUCAACUCAAAACUAGCGGAAAAAUCAAAGUUGUCUGUGGUGGUAAUAUUAUUUGAAGGAUGUUUAACUUUUUCUUUUAUUUAAUAUUUUACAACAUUUGUUUACAAAUGUUUAGGUAUGCAUGCAUGCAUACAAUUUGUUUUCCUCUCCGUUUUGAAAUAUAGAUUAUUGUAAUAUAUUUACAUUUCUCACUGGAUUAAAAUUCAAGUUCUGGUAGCUUUCAUAUACAUACUGCAAAAAGGCAGUGUUUUUCUAAAUAAAGAGAAAAAUUGGUAAGACCUGUUAAAGUGGAAAGAUGCACUUCAGCAAUUUCCAUCUCUUAUCUCUACUGUAUUCUGACACAUGCUAAUACACUAUGAAGAAAUCAAAGAGACCCCAUACUCUGGGAGAACAAUCCAGAGAGUCAUCUUGUGAUGCCUACAACACUGUACAGACCUAAUAAACAAAUAUGCAACCUUCUGAAAUCUUGUUUCUUAAUAUAUUAACUCCCACAGUUUUAAAGGCACACUUUCAUUUUAAACACUGCUUCUGAAACAGCAUGCAGCAUCUACCAAAGUACAUUCGGAUAACAGCAUCAAAGUUUAAAUAAUAUGCAUUUAGAGAAACACAUACAGACUUCAUACCCAGAUUUAUAUAUGCUUCCCAGUUCAGUUAGUGGGAACCCCUGUCAGGUUAUAACUUUUUUUUUUCCCCCUUAACAUAGGCCCAAUCAUGCACUUCACUUCAGGGCUAAGAAAAAAAAACAAAAAACAACAAAAAAGUGCUAUUAGGAUGAUGUUUGCUGAAAGAUUUUUCAAUCAGCUAUACACAGGAAACAAUUAGACAUACGGUGAAACACGAAUUCUGCAUGGAAGUUAUUUUCUCUAAAGUAUUUUUAAAAUCUGUCUCUUGGAAACAUGUGGCAAAAAGUUUACCUUCACAAGGCAAACAUCAAGCAGUACAUGUUAAGUAGAGAAAAGAAAUUUCAUUUACAAUUCCAUGAUGUUACAAAGCAAUCACAGGCUAGAUCCUCCUUGGAGAUUUAGUUCAGAAACAUGCUAACACUGCACCCACAGAUAAACCAUGCAGCUUCUCCAGAACAGCAGUCUGUGGAGCCACAGCAUCUAUUCCUGCAGGUUCAAAACAGAGCAUGUCCUAAAAGAGGACCUCAGGAGAGCUGUAAGCCUUCUAGCCAACACUCUGGACGUCUCUUAUGUUGCACAGUAAAGGCACUUGUUCAGAAUUUGCAUGGAAAUGACACUUUAAAGUCUGUUUAAUUUAGCAAGCAAAGUGUUAAAAGAAACCAACAACAAGAAGAAAAAAAAAAAACACAACAACAGACAGAGCCUGAAUUUGGCCAAAUUCAGGCUAUAAAGGAAGCAGAGAUCUGCUGAGAGCAUUCAACCUUUGGAACAGCUUUUAAGGGCCGCAGUAAGUUCUCUUUCACCGUCAACCUAAAUGGAAAUCUUGACUGGUUUUCUAAAAAUAAACUCUAAUUUGUAGUUUUUCAACUGUUGGCUAUGAAUGAAGGAUAAAUGGUUCACCAUGGUCUGUGAGGACAUAAAAUGGUCUACAGAUACUAUGUGCUCCUGAACUAUCAGGCCUCAACAUCAGCACGGAAAAAUGUUGCAGUCUGUUCUGACUUCUUUAGUGAUAGUUGCCUUUUAUGUUCCCUCCCUCUACCCAUCUGCCCUAAAGAUUGACAAAGCUGCUCUAGACCCUUAGUUAAAAGCAGUUAGUUUUGUUUUCUGUUUGUGGCAAUAGUGAUUUUAAAGCAGAAUCAUCAUAAAUGGUAAUUUUUUUCAUUCCUCCAAAAACCACUGCAUAUCCAUCAGUGCACGUACUCACUUGUUAAAAGUAAAGAGAAUAAAAAUAAUCCCCGCUGACAUGAAAAGUAAAGUAGUAAUUCCAGAGUGGUGUUUUUUGUUUUAAUUAUCAACUUUCUCCAAAACUUUAUCAUGCUCUCCUAGGGUUAUAUUCUUCGGUAUAUAUUCCGCUUAGGACUGUACUUAUCUUAAUUUUUCAGAAAUAAUGGCAUAGCAAUUACCAAAAGCAUAUACACUGUUCAUGCAUAGUACAACUGCAAUGAGACUCUAAAAAUACAAAAUAAAGAGCAUUAAGACAGGAA